rnacentral:rRNA from 1 species
AUGUGCCUACCCUUGAUAUGUUUCCCAUAUCCAUUAUGUUUUUCAGAUAUAUCGCCCGUGGCGCGCUUUACAGAGGUGGCCGUGGGGGUAACCAAAGAGCGCAAGGAGCAGUGGAAAAGGCUUUACGACGAAUAUCGAGGAGAGAGCACAUCCCUCUACGAUAAGAAGUGCAGCAAAGAAGAGAGAGACGUGGGGUUUACGAAGCUUUACCAGGGGAAAAUAUCAGGUGGUACGGGAGCACCUAAGUUUAGGUGCUACAAGAGCUUCUCGGCCAUUGGAUCUGAAAUCCAACGGUCAUCUACAGAUGCGCUGGACCCGAUUUGCAAUAACAAAUUUCUGGGAGUGUUUUCUGAAUAA